ACAGUUGGAACGACUGCUAAUACCCGAUGUGCCGAGAGGUGAAACAUUUAUGGCCUGUAGAUGAGCUCGCGUCUGAUUAGCUAGUUGGUGGGGUAAGGGCCUACCAAGGCGACGAUCAGUAGCUGGUCUGAGAGGAUGAUCAGCCACACUGGGACUGAGACACGGCCCAGACUCCUACGGGAGGCAGCAGUGGGGAAUUUUCCGCAAUGGGCGCAAGCCUGACGGAGCAACGCCGCGUGGGGGAGGAAGGUUUUUGGACUGUAAACCCCUUUUCUCAGGGAAGAAGAAAGUGACGGUACCUGAGGAAUAAGCCUCGGCUAAUUCCGUGCCAGCAGCCGCGGUAAUACGGGAGAGGCAAGCGUUAUCCGGAAUUAUUGGGCGUAAAGCGUCCGCAGGCGGUUAAUCAAGUCUGUUGUCAAAGCGUGGGGCUCAACCUCAUACAGGCAAUGGAAACUGAUUGACUAGAGUAUGGUAGGGGUAGCGGGAAUUCCAGGUGUAGCGGUGAAAUGCGUAGAUAUCUGGAAGAACACCAGCGGCGAAAGCGCGCUACUGGGCCAUAACUGACGCUCAUGGACGAAAGCUAGGGGAGCGAAAGGGAUUAGAUACCCC
rnacentral:rRNA from 1 species